GUGGUUGCUUCGGCAGCACAUAGACUAAAAUUGGAAUGAUACAGAGAAGAUUAGCGUGAUCCCUGCAUAAGGAUGACGGGCAAGUUCAUGAAGAGAAGAGUUUAAUA